rnacentral:rRNA from 1 species
UAGGGAAUCUUGCGCAAUGGGCGAAAGCCUGACGCAGCGAUGCCGCGUGGGGGAAGAAGGCUUUCGGGUUGUAAACCCCUUUCAGGUGGGACGAAGCUACUCGGGUUAAUAGCCCAGAGGGUGACGGUACCGCCAGAAGAAGCCCCGGCUAACUACGUGCCAGCAGCCGCGGUAAUACGUAGGGGGCAAGCGUUGUCCGGAUUUAUUGGGCGUAAAGAGCGUGUAGGCGGCUGGGUAGGUCCGUUGUGAAAACUCAAGGCUCAACCUUGAGACGCCGAUGGAAACCCCCCAGCUAGAGUCCGGAAGAGGAGAGUGGAAUUCCUGGUGUAGCGGUGAAAUGCGCAGAUAUCAGGAAGAACACCCGUGGCUAAGGCGGCUCUCUAGUACGGUACUGACGCUGAGACGCGAAAGCGUGGGGAGCGAACAGGAUUAGAUACCCGCGUAGUCC